rnacentral:rRNA from 1 species
UGGGGAAUUUUGGACAAUGGGCGAAAGCCUGAUCCAGCAAUGCCGCGUGUGUGAAGAAGGCCUUCGGGUUGUAAAGCACUUUUGUCCGGAAAGAAAUCCUUGGCUCUAAUACAGUCGGGGGAUGACGGUACCGGAAGAAUAAGCACCGGCUAACUACGUGCCAGCAGCCGCGGUAAUACGUAGGGUGCAAGCGUUAAUCGGAAUUACUGGGCGUAAAGCGUGCGCAGGCGGUUUGCUAAGACCGAUGUGAAAUCCCCGGGCUCAACCUGGGAACUGCAUUGGUGACUGGCAGGCUAGAGUAUGGCAGAGGGGGGUAGAAUUCCACGUGUAGCAGUGAAAUGCGUAGAGAUGUGGAGGAAUACCGAUGGCGAAGGCAGCCCCCUGGGCCAAUACUGACGCUCAUGCACGAAAGCGUGGGGAGCAAAACAGGAUUAGAUACCCUGGUAGUCCACGCCCUAAAACGAUGUCAACUAGUUGUUGGGGGAUUCAUUUCCUUAGUAACGUAGCUAACGCGUGAAGUUGACCGCCUGGGGAGUACGGUCGCAAGAUUAAAACUUAAAGGAAUUGACGGGGUCAUAGCUGUUUCCU